rnacentral:rRNA from 1 species
GAUGAACGCUAGCGGCAGGCUUAAUACAUGCAAGUCGUGGGGCAGCAUGAGUGUAGCAAUACAUUUGAUGGCGACCGGCAAACGGGUGCGGAACACGUACACAACCUUCCUAUAAGUGGGGAAUAGCCCAGAGAAAUUUGGAUUAAUACCCCGUAACAUAACGAUGUGGCAUCACAUUGUUAUUAUAGCUUCGGCGCUUAUUGAUGGGUGUGCGGCUGAUUAGAUAGUUGGCGGGGUAACGGCCCACCAAGUCUACGAUCAGUAGCUGAUGUGAGAGCAUGAUCAGCCACACGGGCACUGAGACACGGGCCCGACUCCUACGGGAGGCAGCAGUAAGGAAUAUUGGUCAAUGGACGCAAGUCUGAACCAGCCAUGCCGCGUGAAGGAUUAAGGUCCUCUGGAUUGUAAACUUCUUUUAUCUGGGACGAAAAAAGGCUUUUCUAAGUCACUUGACGGUACCGGAUGAAUAAGCACCGGCUAACUCCGUGCCAGCCGCCGCCGUAAGAC